UCUUCAGUAGGGUCAUUACUGAUCCACUAAAGUAAAAUGAUGACUUUGGGAUAUGAUCAAUAUUGAUUAUAAUCCGCUUGACGUUUGCUUAUAUCGCAACGGUAAACGUUCAAAAUUCUGAU